rnacentral:scRNA from 1 species
CGAAUCGCGCAUACCCUGCGCGUCGCCGCCUGC